rnacentral:tRNA from 1 species
UAAGGUGGCUGAAUAAGUGAUGAGUUGUAAUUUCAUUCAUAAAGGUUAUAAUCCUUUUCUUAA